rnacentral:lncRNA from 1 species
AAUAUCAAGAUUUAAAUUAAAUAAGGGCAGACCAAAUGUGAUGGAUGCUCAUGGCAUAUGAGUCAGGAGGCACUUCAGAGAGCAUCUUAACAGGAUUUGAAUGUUGAAGCGGAAGGAAGGAUCUUGGCAAUUUUAAAUGACGAUAUAGAAAACAGAAACUCCGGGAUGAAUGAAGCCAAAGCAUGUGAGCAGAGAUGGACAGAGUGCCUGUGAAGAACCACUAGCUGGUGGUGAGGUAACUUUUGUAUACGAAGCGGAGGUCUGUCAAGGAAUCAUACCUCACAUCCAGUCAGUAGUUUGUCGGAAUAAAAUAUCGUGAAAUAGUUAAAAUAUAAUUUUAUUUGUGUGAAUUUUUUGUUUUGUUACUUUGUUUUUUUUAUAGUGUUUAUGUUACAUCAGGAAAAGAGAUUUGUGUGUUUCACUGCAGGAAGAUUUCACACCUGGAUCUGUCACAUACACUGAUGUCUUUAACGAAAAUAAAAAUAGAUCCUAUUUAUUGAAUUAUUGAGGUACAUAUUAUGUUGUCCACUUUCCAUGCCAUGCCUUAUAAUUCCCUUAUACUCUGAAGGUGAAUGAACUGUUUUAUACAUUUUAUGUAGAACAAUGGAAUUCCCUUGUACUUCAUCUGGUUAAGGGUCCGACAUUGUCACUUCUGUGGGGCAGGUUCAGUCCCUGGCCCAAGAACUUCUGCAUACUGACAAAAAAGAACAAUUAAAAAAAAGAAUAAUAAAAAAAUAAAAAUGGCUAGAACAGUUUUCAACUCUCUAGGAGAUACUUGAUAACACAUCUCAGGUUCCCAUUGUGAGAGAGUUGUUACCAUUUUUUUUGUCACUUAUUGUUGUUCUAAAUUUACCACCAGCAAAUCACCAGCCAAAUUAAAGUUGAGGAAAUAGAGAAUUAUAAUUUUCUGUUAAAAAUGGUGUCUGUGAAAACAAAAUUACACACAGAUUAUCUACAAAAAUAAUAGCGACUAAGACAAAACCCAGCCACUUUUACAUAAGAGACAUGGCCUAAGUGUACAAAAUUCUUAAACACUCAAAUGAAAAAUAAAAAGCAGUAAGUUUUCCAAUAAUGACAUGAAACUCCAAACAUGACAUCUUCAGUAAAAAUCAUAAGAACGAGGAAUAAUUUUCCAGUUGUAACACAAACAAAUAAAAACCUGCAGAGGGAUUCACUGUAUCUGUGAAUGUCAGUCGAAUAGUGUGAAUUGGGGAAAAAUUCUUCUCUGAGUAUAGGUGUUCACUUUAUUGAUGUUUUCUCUGACUCACUAAAGUGAAAAACAUUUUGGGAAAUGAAAUAUGUCUUAGAAUUUCAGAUUUUAUAAAUUUAAAGUCAUUGUUUUGAUCUUUAUUAUUGUGAAAUCCUCAUUGGGUGCAUAUUCUGGACUUGGCCCUGAGUAAAGAGGUAAAAAUUAGACAAAGGAUAUUGUGUUUAAGGGACCUCAAAUCUAACAAAAAAGCAAGUUUGUAGUGGAAGAUGGUUGGAUAUACAUGAUACAUAUGAAAUGUUAUUCAUUAUGGGAGAAGGUCAAUGUUUACCUUCUAUACUGUGCCAGGGUAUUAAAAUUUUCCUAAGUUUAGCCUUUAAGAAAUGUUCUUUGAAUCUGUUUCUAUAAAUGGGAUUACAAAUAAGAUAUUUAAUACAAUUAAAAUUUAAGGUAAUUCUGUCACUUUUUUACAUAGAAUGUAUUCCUCAAGAGACUGACGACUAGAUGCAGGAAGAGGAAACUAUAAAAUAAGAACCAGAACCCACCUAGCCCUUAACAUUGAGAGAGAGAUUAGAUCGGUAUCUGUCCUGUUUAAGCAUUUAGUCAACCUCUAUUUAAAGAGGAGAAUUUGCAGAAGGAGGGUUGUGGUAGCAUUAAUCCGUGUGUCCCUAGUUCAAAGACCUUUUGCGCUUAAACAGGCUCCUCUUGGGCUAUCCCACCUCUCCUUCAGGGGUCUGAGUACUUCUCUCUUUCAGAGCAGUUCCAGCUAGUGUGAGGUUUCCAGGGCUGACUCACUGCCCUAGCCUCUUCUCCCUGCUUUCAUCUUGGCUCCCCAGGGAGCCACCCGCUGGACUAUCCCUGCAUCCAACCCUGUUCUAGAAAAGAAUUCCAUAUUUUUGAGCAGCGUUUUCUGGGAUGUAGUCUUUGAAACUCUGGUUUUACAGAAUCUCUAUAUAGUCUCCCUUUCUGACACUAAGCCGGAUGUUUUGAAGAGCGUGUUCUCUUCUCUUUGAAGGUCAUGGUAUAUGAAUGCGCUCAGGAGCCCGAGAACUCCUUCAGUAGUGGCCUACUGCUUACCGUUAUUUGUUCCGGCUUUUAUACAGUUAAGGGUCCAUGAACUAAUUUUGCAAGGCAUACCCUUAGCACGAGCUCUGUAGGUUACAGUGUGGAAAUGCUGAAUUAGACUACUGUGACCUUAAUAUCCUUCACAGUCCUCGUGAGAAAUAGGCAGAAGUUCUAAAGACUGGGGAAGCCAUAUUUAGAAUUACAGCAGUUCGGUGAUAUCAGAAAAGUAGUGAGAUAUGAAAUACUCAGAUUCCUUUCGUCAUUGUACCCCCUUCCCCUCUGGGAAUCUGUUUGGAUAGUGUGAACAACCAGCACAAUAUAAUUAGAGGUUGUGUUUGUGUGAAUUCGAGUAAUGUGGAGGUCUGAUCAGGUACUUAAGCUGUGGGGAGGUUUCAAAUGGAAACAGUGGAGAACCGAAACAGGAUGAGAAGAAAAGGCCAUGAGGAGAACGUUAAUGGCACCUUUAAUCCGUGGAGCCACAGGGAAGGUGGCUUUUCCUGUGGCAUAAGGGACACUAGAUGACCUCUGUGGGUCUUUGCACACCGGGGUCUCUGAUCCGCCAGACCAGGUGAAGACUUUUUCAGUCCUACUUCGUGUAGUGUGGGUGCUUGUGGGGUUUCUUUGGGUGAAUCUCUUUGGGAAGAUGAUGAAAAUCCAAGCAACUUCAGGUAGGAGGGGAGAGUAGUGUUUCUCAUAGAGCUUACUGAAGUACCACCAGUGGAGUUAAGUGUCAGGAGUUGCCUCAUGGGACAGUGACUAAUCACUGUGUGUCACCAGGGAGUAAAAUACAGUUUUUUCUACCUCGUGGUCAUAUUCGCUUUUGGAAGGCAGCUGCGCUUAUCACCAUACCACCAAUGCUGUUAUUUGCUUUGGAAUGAGAGACUCUGCCAGGAGGUUUCUGCCUGGAACUUGGAGGACAGUGGAAAGAACCCAUUAGCUCUGAGAUCACGGAAACUGCAUCCUAUCAUUCACUUCCAAGUACUGCCCAGAAAUCAUAUAUUUAUCCUGUAAAAUAGCUCUUCCAAUGAAAGUUGUAUGUCUCUUCCUUUCCAAAGUUCUUCAAGGCUUGCUCACAUAGCCGAUUUACUGAGCACUUCAUACAGGCCUGUUCAGUGCAGUUUCUUCUUUCCUGCUCAUAGCAAAGCCUCUGAGGGGGACGUUACUAUUAUCAGCAUCACUCUCUUACAGGUCACAUAGCUUCUCGUGGCUGAGGCCAGCGCCGUCUCCGGGACAAGAAUUUUUCACAGCUGCUCUGUGUGACUGUUUUCCCAUCUUGUAAAGAGGAUCCUAAAGAAAGAAAUACAUCAUUCUCUAGACCCUGAUGUGUUCUGACCACUCGCCUGUGUUUUGCACAAAGCAUCUCCCCAAACAAAUCCCAGAUUAUUAAUGGUGAACUUUAGCCAGUGGCUAAUCUGUUUAAUGAUUAUGUCUACAUCUGUUAAGAAAACACAUAAAUCAUUUGGAAAACCAUUCAUAAUAAAAAAGAAAAAAGACCGCAUGUAGCUGUGUUUCAUCACGGCCAGCUUGAGACAGCUUGUUUUUUUUGACCAUCUCCAUUAUAAUUGGGGUUGUUAAAGAGAUUACUGAAGUAUUAAAUAGGCCAGUUUAUGACAAAGCAACAAAU